AGCUGUUGAGAUUAUAGACAAGGUAAUGGCGUGGGGGAGACCCCCGGGACCAAAGGCGAAAAACUGUCAGAAAAAAUGAGCACAUACUGUUCUAGUAUGGAUUUCUUAUUCUUGAGUGGAUCGUUUUGAUCGUUUUUUUUUCGUUUGGCGUAAAGUCCUGGAGGUAAAGGUCGAAAAAUCUGCGCGUUAUUUUACAGCGCACCCCUGUUUUUUGGUUUGUCUGUCGGCGAAUGAGAGAAAACCAGUGAGCAGGGCGGCAGGCCGCUUCGAUUUGUAGGCGAAACGUCUGGUUUGUAGAUUUGAUCAGUCGAACUUGCACAAGUCAACCCUUCCAAUCUGCUGCCGUAAAUUUACUUCUGCAACCCCGUGUUCAAUAUGAAUGUGCUUGUAUAGACAGAAAUAUUUUGUUACACUUCUGUGAUGAUAUAAAAGUAUUGUGUUUCUAAAUAAAUUGCAGUUGGGUAUUUCAGAGCACCUGUAUAAAAUACACUUUGAUAUAACUUAUGUUCUCGUAAUAUCUUAGACCAGCAGUAGUUUAAAUGGAUGAAAUGUACAUCGAGGUAGAAAUGUGUGGUACCUUAUUUCAAUAACGUAACACAUUUUCAUCGCGUUUCGAGAUCAGCCCUGUACUACAGAAGGCUUGGGGGUAUUUUUGAAGUGUUUAAAACAGAUGUUAAGGUUAUAUUGAAAUGUAAGAACACGAAAGCUGUGCGGACCUGUGCUUUACCUUGUUUGAUUUUUUUUUUCAUAAAGUGAAGUUGUGUUGUAAUAUGUACGUCUGACGGUGUUAGUCAUGUUAUAUGUGCUCUCGUUUGUAUUGUAUUUUUGCUGUUAUGAUUAAAAGCGUUUAAAAAAUAA